AGUACCUGAAACCUUGUGCUUACAAGCAGACAUAGCCCGUUAAAGGGUGGUGUCGUACUUUUUGUAGAACGGUCCGGCGAGUUAUAGUAACUGGCGAGCUUAAGGUAUUCAGUACCGGAGGCGAAGGGAAACCGAGUGUGAAUAGCGCGUGAAGUCAGUUGCCAUAGACCCGAAACCAGGUGACCUAGCCAUGUCCAGGAUGAAGUGGAGGUAAAGCUCCAUGGAGGUCCGAACCCACGUACGUUGCAAUGUCCGGGGAUGAGGUGUGGCUAGCGGUGAAAUUCCAAACGAACUUGGAGAUAGCUGGUUCUCCCCGAAAUAGCUUUAGGGCUAGCGUAGGUAAUGAGUUUCACGGAGGUAAAGCACUGUCUGAGCUAGGGGGCGAUAAGCUUACUGAACUCUAACAAACUAAGAAUGCCGUAGAAAUGCUUACCUGCAGUCAGACUGCGAGUAAUAAAAUCCGUGGUCAAAAGGGAAACAGCCCAGACCCACAGCUAAGGUCCCAAAUAUACGCUAAGUGGAAAACGAUGUGAGAUUGCAUAAACAACCAGGAUGUUGGCUUAGAGGCAGCCACUCGUUCAAAGAGUGCGUAAUAGCUCACUGGUCGAGUGAUCUUGCGCGGAAAAUUUAACGGGGCUAAGCGUAUAACCGAAGCUUGGGAAUGUCGAAAGACAUUGGUAGGGGAGCGUCGUGUAUGGGGUGAAGUCGCAUCGGAAGGAGCGGUGGACUGUACACGAGUGAGAAUGCCGGAAUGAGUAGCGAGAAUUAUGUGGGAAUCAUAAUGGCCGAAAAUCUAAGGUUUCCUGGGGAAGGUUCGUCCGCCCAGGGUAAGCCGGGAGCUAAGGCGAGGCCGCGAGGCGUAGUCGAUGCACAUACGGUAGAAAUUCCGUAGCCACCUCACACGAGAAAGCUGACACAUGGAGAUAGUCGAACCCGGCCGUUGGUCGCGCCGGGCGAAAGGGACCGAACUUAUAGUAGGGAAGUCGAUGAUGCUCUGUGGCGAGAAAAGGCGAAGUGAGGUGCCCGUACCGCAAACCGACACAGGUAGAUGAGGAGAGAAUCCUAAGGCCAACGGGAGAAGGGUUGUUAAGGAACUCGGCAAAUUGACCCCGUAACUUCGGGAUAAGGGGAGCCUCCUACGGGAGGCCGCAGUGAAUAGGCCCAAGCAACUGUUUACCAAAAACACAGGUCUCUGCUAAAUCGAAAGAUGACGUAUAGGGGCUGACGCCUGCCCGGUGCCGGAAGGUUAAGAGGAGAGCUUAGCGCAAGCGAAGGUUCGAAUUGAAGCCCCGGUAAACGGCGGCCGUAACUAUAACGGUCCUAAGGUAGCGAAAUUCCUUGUCAGGUAAGUUCUGACCCGCACGAAUGGCGUAAUGAUUUGGGCACUGUCUCAACAGCCCGCCCGGCGAAAUUGUAGUACUGGUGAAGAUGCCAGUUACCCGCAACUAGACGGAAAGACCCCAUGGAGCUUUACUGUAGCCUAAUACUGAAGAUCGGUAAUGCAUGUACAGGAUAGGUGGGAGCCAGCGAAACCCGGGCGUCAGCUCGGAUGGAGGCAACCUUGGAAUACCACCCUUGUAUUGCUGGUUUUCUAACCUGCGGCCAUGAAUCUGGUCGGGGGACACUGUUAGGUGGGCAGUUUGACUGGGGCGGUCGCCUCCAAAAGCGUAACGGAGGCGCUCAAAGGUUGGCUCAGCACGGACGGAAAUCGUGCAUAGAGUGCAAACGCAUAAGCCAACUUGACUGCGAGACCGACGGGUCGAGCAGGUACGAAAGUAGGAGUUAGUGAUCCGGUGGUAUGUGAGUGGAAAUGCCAUCGCUCAACGGAUAAAA
rnacentral:rRNA from 1 species